rnacentral:lncRNA from 1 species
AAAAUUAACUAUCCUAUUAUUUAGUGUGUUUUUUUACUUUACUAUCUUGUUAUUAAAAGAGUUACAAUAAAUUAUCCAGUAAUUUUAUUUUUAUUUUAGUGUAAGGACCCGAGGUUAAACUAUUCUGUAGUUUUUUUUUUCAGUGAAUAAAGUAUAGAAUAGUUAAACACAACUUUUUGAAUCAAAGACCGACUAUCUCUAAAGCAAGUGGCAAAAGGCUUGGUGAUUGGUACCCGAGAUCCAAGUUCGAAUCCUAGUUGAUUUACAUUUUUAGCUAAAUUUAUUUCUAAAUGAAAUAAAUGAAGCGAGUAGCGUGCUACCUAUUUCUCAAAAAAAAAACCUUUUUGAAUCAAAGCGGCUAAAAAUUCUUACCCAAACAGAGCUUUGGAUUUUAGUUCUUCUUUGGGCUGCAUGUUCACUUGCUCUGGGCUCUUAUGGGGGGACCAAUUUCUCUUUAAAUUGUUGAAUUUACAUGGGCUUGGUAUAAUGUAGCCUCUAUAUUAGUAGAGGUUUGGUUAGGUUACUGGGGUUGUCAAUUUUUGUAUUUUCAAAUUUUCAAAACGUUUUUGGUGUCACAUUGAAGGAGAGAUUCAUUAGUUAAUUUGCUAAGAGCCUGUUUAGAUGUUUCUUUUUUUUUUACCCUUUGCAGGAUGUCAACAGAUCGGAUUCGGGACGGAUUUUUACAAAUCCGAACCUAACUCCAAACCCGAAACUCGAACCCGAUGAAUUUUAAAAAUUCAUAUCCAAAUCUGAACCCGACCAACAAUCCUACACCCGAACCCGAAAAUUCGAAUCCGAAACAAUUAUUUCUCUUUUCAAUAUUUCAAAAUAUAUUACAUUAAAUCUAAAAUUUGAAAAUACAAAUUCAAAUAUAACAUUAAAUUUUUAUAUAUAUAUAUAUAUGUAUAUAUAAUGUAAAAUAAAUACGGGUUCGGAUCCAGUACAAUCAAAAUCCAUAUCCGAAUUCAUAUCCGUUGGAUUUUUGUUUUUGAUAUCCAUAUUCGAAACCAUAUUCGUCUAGUAUCGGAUAAAUCCGUUCUGUUCGGAUUCAAGUUCGGAUAAAAUUUCGAGUGACACUCCUAUUUGCGCCGGUAGGAGAAUGAAGUAACCAUCACUCUUGUUUCAGAGUAUGUUCCUUCUUUGAGUUUCAUCUGCAAGACUGCAGCUUACUCUUAUCCAAACAAGUCUUAUUAGGGAAAAAAAAGUUAUUCCCAUGUCACUACUUAAAAUGGAAAUUUAAGAUGCAAUUAGCUAUAUGUUUGAGAUAGCUAUUUGAUGCUUCAUUAGGUGAUAAAUAAAAAGAAUAAAGGCACAUAAAAACAAAGGAAAUGUCAUAGUUAAAAAUUAGUAGAACUAAAGAGUAGAUAUGCACAGAGAGAGAGAGAGAGAGAGAGAGAGAGAGAGAGUACCCAAUAAGGAAAUGAUAUAAUAAGCCCAGAAAAAACUGAUGAAAAAGAUUUAUUGGGAAUAAUUCCAAACGUAAGACCGUUCUAUCCGUCAUUCGUACAAUUUUAAAUUUUCUGUUGUCCAUACGACGGACGGUGGAUGAAAUAGUCUCACAUUCGAGAUUUGUCUGCACUAAAUAUUUAUUUCAAAAUGUAGAUUAAGAUUAAAUAGCUCAUGUAAUACAUGCUUUAUUUGAACGAAAUAAUUUUCCUGUUUUUUUUUUUGUAUCAAAUACAAUUUUUGUUUUGGUUCAAAUUAACCUGACCUUUUAAUCAUCUUUUGCGUACAUAACCGAUGAAAUAUGAAUAAUAAUUUAGUAAUAAAACAACAAGUUUGAUAUUUUCCUGAUAAGAAACAGAGUUUGUAGUGCAAUUUGACCUCUUCUCUAUAAAAAACCUUUUCUACAAAUUUACCUCAAAAAAAAAAACUAUUUUUUCAUUCUAGUCCCUAAUCUUCUUUUUCACCAUUUAAGUUUCUAAUCUUUAGUGUAAUUUUAAUUUAACUCAUUGUCUUUAUAAUACCACUAGUUUUGAUGAAAAAUUGCCAUGUAGCGAGAUUCAAUUCUUAUAUAUUGUGCUCUGGAGCUCAACUGGACUGAUCGAUUGGACUAAAAUAAUUAUAGUUUAAUUUGAAAAAUAUCAUACUAAAAAAAUAGUCAAGUAAUUAAUCAGUAGAGCCAACAAGUGAUUCUGAUUAUAGAAGAAAAGUUAUUAUUAUUAUUAUUAUAUUAUUAUUAUUUUUAUAUAUGACUAAAAUAAAUUGUCUAUAAUUUUUUAAAAAUAUAUAUAUAUUUAAUAUACAUUAAUAAUUCGACUUCAAUCAAAAUUUAGGUGAAUUUCUAGAUCAUAAGCCUUUUUUAUUAUUGUUCUUUUGUCAAAAAAUUAUUAAUAUAAAUAUUAAUGUAAUAAAUAUUUGUCAUAUUUAUGGUAUUUCUUUUUAGAGUUAACUAGUAUAUGACUCGUGCGAUGCACAGCUAAUGUAAUAAUAUAAAAUAACAAAAGUUAUUAUAGGAUGAUAAAAGAAAAAUAUUUUAAUUAAUAUUAUAUUUUUUUUAACAAAUAAAGAAAUAUACUAUCAAUCUUAAUUAUAAUACAUAUUAAAUUACGAAAGCUAGAGAAACAAAAUUAUGGACCAAAAUAAAUACUCAGGUAAAGAGCAAAAUUAAACCAUGCUCUAUUAUCUAUGAAUUGGUGUGCAAAAUAAUUUGUUUAAUAGUAUUAUUAAUUAAGAUUGAUAGUAUAUUUGACAUUAAUAAUUAAGUAUAAUUUGAUUUAAUAAUGUUUCCUAAUAAAAUUCUAUUUUUAACCAUCUAAUUGCUAUAUUUGAGUUUGACAUGUGGCAAGUAUAUAGAAAGAUGCAUGAUAAACAUUUAAUUUGAUUUAAUUGUAUAUAUAAUUAUAAUUUAAUUUAACGGUGUUUAAUAGUGUUUACUAAUAAUAUUCUAGUUAAUUGUAUAUAUAAUUAUAUUUAAUUGGUAUAAUUUGAUUUAAUAGUGUUUCCUAAUAAAUAACCUAUUCUAUAUUUGUAGUGUUUCCUAGUAAAAUUCUAAUUUGUAUAAUUUAAUUUAAUUUGAUUUAAUAGUAUUUUCUAAUAAAAUUUUAUUUUUAAUCAUCUAAUUGCUAUAUUUGUGUUUGAUAUGUGGCAAGUAUAUAGAAAGAUGCAUGAUAAACAUUUAAUUUAAUUUAAUUUGAUUUAAUUGUAUAUAUAAUUAUAAUUUGAUUUAAUAGUGUUUAAUUGUGCUUUAUAAUAAAAUUCUAGUUAAUUGUAUAUAUAAUUAUAUUUAAUUGGUAUAAUUUGAUUUAAUUUGAUUUAAUAGUCUUUCCUAAUAAAAUUGAUAUUCUAUUUAUAGUGUUUCAUAAUAAAAUUCUAGUUAAUUGUAUAUAUAAUUAUAUUUAAUUGGUAUAAUUUGAUUUAAUAGUGUUUACUAAUAAAAUUGCUUUUCUAUAUUUAAGUUUGACGCGUGGCAAUCAUAUAAAAAGAUACGUAUCAGUUUUACAUCAAGAGUUCUACUUUAGUAUAUAGUAAAAUUGAGUUUGACACGUGGCAAGUAUAUAGAAAGAUACGUGUCAGUUUUACACCAAGAGUUCUACUUUAGUAUAUAGUAAAUAUAGUAAAUAAAUAGUUUUUUCAACGACCUAUACUGAUAUACAUUAUCUAAUAAAUAAAUACUAAAAAUUAAGGACCGGAUUGCAAAAAAAAAAAAAAAAAAAAUGAAUCGAGGACCCAAAAAAACACGAAUGAAGGUUAGGGACCAACAAGGCAAUUAACCCUUUAAAAUCCGUCGCUUCUCUUCUUCCUUCCUCGCUUCUUUCGCAGCGCAAACGAUGUCGGAGAACCCCUUGGAGCCCCUCCUCAAAACCCUAGACUCAAUCUCGCGCUGCGUCCAAACUCACCUCUCCCGCGUCUUCGUCGCCCCCCAAAACGCUUCUCCAAAACCCACGCUGCUUCGUCCCCUCUUAUCCUUCUCGCCGACUCCCGUGGCUCCGGAUUCUACCACUUCACCCAUAAAGGUGCGCCCUUUGCUUCUCUUUUGCGUCCAAAGAAGAGGUGUUGAGCGCUUAUGGAUUUGGGUUUUACGAGGUCUGUGUGUUUGGGGCUUUGUUUAGGAGAAAAAGGCGGCGCCUUUAACGAAGGAGGAGCUCGGGAGGGCGACGUGGACUCUGCUCCACAGCAUUGCGGCCCAGGUGUUUGGUUUUUUGCCUCUGUGAUGAUCUUGUGCUUUCUCAUGUUUUUUCCCUGAAAGUUACCUUGUCAUUUCGUAGUGAGUUCCUUUUUGUUGGUGAAAGAGGAGUAACUUUGUCUGAUAUUAGCCUUUGGAGGUAGAAAUGACGUAACCUUGUGUCAAUUUAAUCUUUGUAUUGUUUAAAAUGCUGUUGGAAAUGUUGAUUAUAAGAAACUGAGUGUCAAACAAGUGAUUAAUCUAAAAGUACAAGCUCUUAGCGAGUGGUGUUUUAAUAAUUUAUAUUCAACACUUCUCAUUGUAUCUAGGCUCAAGACAUUUUGAUAGGCCAAGAUGCAGGCUACAAUUAAAUGGAGGGAAAGUAAUUGCGACCUGCUCUGAUACCAUAUAAGACAACCAAUUACUCUAAAAAGUUAAGCUAUCAGAUAACAUUGUUUUAAUAUUUUAUGUUCAACACUGAGCUGGCCCAUUGAUACUUUUUUUGGCUUGCUUUCGAAUAGGUAUUAGCAAUAGAUACUUAAUUAGGAUGUUUUCCUUUAUUAUCUUCUCGUGCAUGAUGGGGAUGUUAUGAUUGUUAAGAAUGUUAGUCCCAGAGUGUGAGACUUGAAGAUUUGAAAUAGUUCUAUAUAUAAGAUAUAAUAGAACUAAAUUUUUUAAUCCGGAUAUAGCAUUUUGGACUGUGGCUAGGUUCAAAAGAUUAAAGGAGUCAAGCGUGCUAGGGUUAGAGUAGUCUUAAGAUGCGUGACCCCCUGAGAAGUGGGGCGUCAUAGUUGGUAUAAGAACUAACUACCAGCCGGAAGUAUGAGAUGAGUCUCGGUUGAGCCAAGUUAUACAGUGGACAGAAUGAGACUCUCUGGCCGAUGACUGUUGUGCGUGGAGCGCGGCUUCUUAUAAGGUCGACUAAGGCUAGCGAGAUGAGUCUCACAUUGUCUGGUACUUGUGAGUGUGCUUAAGCCUGAUGAGGACGUCAGAGUUUAAAAGAGAGAAGAAUGUGAGACCCCAGGAUUUGGAAUAAGACUAAAUUUCUUAACCCGGCUGUAGCAUUUUGGACGGUGGCUAAGCCCAAAAGGUUAAGAGAGUUAAGAGUGCUAGGAUUAGAGUAGUUCUAUAAUGGGUGAUCCCCUGGGAAGUGGGACGUCACACAGAGGGCAUCCAGUGUGAACGACAGCCCCAGAAUCUAGUCCCAAAGAGGGCUUUGACAUGGUGCCAGAGUCAGCUUAAGUAUGAAAGGCACCUAGUAAUUGUUGGUUGAAUAAUUAAGUUUCUUAAAUUAAGGCUGAAAUUCAUUAUUCUGAUCUGUUUAACCAAAUCUAAAUUUCGACUAGGUUGCGGGCAUGCAACAAGCACCUAUGUUUGGCUUCGGGAGUUGACUAAACUUGGUUUAUUAUAUUUAUUUUGACCCAUGUGUCACACAUUUAUUGGCUAGAAGAAAUGAUUUUGCUUUCUUCUAGCUGGAAACAGCAUUUAUUAGCCAUAUGUAGUGUGAGCAGCUUUAUGGAGUUGAGAUUUCUGCUGAAACCAACGAUAAUAGACAGAAUAUUCUUGUAAGUUAAGUUUUCAUACUAGAUUUUUUUCUGUUGAACUACUUUCACAAGUCUGCUACUUGUUCUGCUAGCUAUCAAAUUAAGGGCUUACCUUGGUGUAUAUCAUUCUCCUUUGGACACAGCACAUUGAUUUUCUGUAUCUUGUUUAAUACUUUUUCAGUAUCCUGAUCACCCAACAAGGCAGCAGAAAAGAGACGUGAAAGAAUUGGUAUGCAGCAAUGUCAUUUUCAUUUGCUAAAUUAUAUUGUUUAAUACCCGAUUGCAGCCAAUGGUGUCCAUUUCGUUUUGAUUAGAUUUUUCCAUGUUGGGACCAUGCACUAUGCAACAAUUGUACCCUAGGGCGUUGAAGACUUGAAGUUGAUUUUGUAGUUGCUCCAUGUAAAUUGCUAGAUUUAAUGAAAUAUGAUGAUAAGGUAGUGGUAGAUUUCUGCAGAAACAUUGGAAAUCUCUUUUGCUGCGAUAGCUAUUAAUGGAUAAUAUAUUACAUGUUUUGUAAAUCGAAAUAUGAUAAAUAUGUUUCUUUUUUAAGUAUUGUUGCUCAGUUCUUUGAUUUUUUGUAUUAUUGUCUCUCACUAUAUUAAUUCGUAAUAUGUGACAAUUUUUUUUUUUUUGGGUAUAUAUUGUCGCUAAUCAGAUCGUUUUUUAGAUCUAAAAAAGACAAGCUUGAUUUCUACUUCAUGUUUUUUUUCUCUUCUUGCAAUAGUUCAUUAACCUUUGGUUCAUUCAACAAUGGAGUCUCAUAUUUUGAUCAAAUUAGACAUGAGAAUAACACAGGUCUUGGGUUUGUGCACGCAGAUGGCUAUAAUAUCUCGACUUUACCCUUGUAAAGAAUGUGCCGAUCAUUUUAAGGAAGUGUUGAAGUAAGUAUAUUAAUUACCUUCAUAGGACUUGCUUGCUAAAUUGUUAUCGCAACCCCUGUUCUGUACAAAAAAGUCAAAAUGCCAACAUUAUCAAUGUUUUUGAAGUGCUCUUGGGGUCUCUGAAGUUUCUUGGGUUUGAACCUCCCAAUUACAGUUGUUUGAUUUUGGUCGGGUUCCAUUAGACUUAGUAGUUUCAGUUACUUAAUAUUCGAAAAUAACAGAAUAUUCUGGUAAAUUCCGGAAUAUCCUGUCAAAAAUGUUUUAAGAAAGUUGGUCUCACCAAAGCUGACUAAAACCAUUUAGUAUAGUGGGGCGUUCAAAGCCAAAUAUAUUGAAGUCCAGGGAUCUGCUUUUAGAACACCUAGAGCUAUAGUUGGCUUGUAUUGGCUUAGAGAUUAUUUUUGGUGUGCACGUAUUACAUGAAAGAAUAAAGGGUAAACAUACAGCCAUUUGCUGUGUUGUGUUUUGGCAGAGCGAAUCCCGUACAAGCAGGAUCACAAGCUGAAUUCUCUCAAUGGCUAUGUCAUGUACACAAUGUGGUUAAUCGAAGGUAAAUUUAAUCCUCUCCGACACUGUACCUCUACUGUCCAUCUGUUUUUCAUUUUACUCACAGGAAGCAGAUUGAGUCAUUUUUCAGUAUUAAAAAGAGUUCAUCAUUUUUCUGACAUAUGUUUUUGGGUGAUAUUUAUAGCCUAGGGAAAGUGAUAUUUCCCUGUCAGAGAGUGAACGCUCGAUGGGGUAAGUUGGAUUGUAAGGAUCGGUCCUGUGAUUUGGAAGGCACUGUCGACAUCAAAACUUUAACUUCCCACACCUGAUGUAUCACAAAGGAUCAUUUUGAGUAGUGCGAUAUCUUUCUACAUCAAGGAAGAAAAGGAAAUACUAAAGUUCACUCUCUCUUGUUUUACCAUUUUUGUAGUCAAUUUGAAGUAAAGUUUAGAUGGACAUAAUGAUGCUCAUUGUACAGCAGUGCAAACCAUCGUGAAGGCAAAAAAGUAGUAAAAUGAUUAGAUUUUUAACUAUGGAUGAUUGUCAUUGAACCGUAUGCUAUAUGCAUUUUGAGACUGUGACAUGGCAUGUAUUGACGUAAGCUAUAUUAUGUAUAUUUGUCAAUUAUUGUCCGUUAAAUGAUUAGAAAAAAUUGGUUGGGUCAAUGCAGUUGUUAUGUUCGAACUGAAUCUUCAAUCUUGUGCAUGGCUUGGAUGAAAUCUGGUGAAUAAGGUUAUGCUGUAAUUGUGAAGUAGGUUAUGAGAAUAUGUAGUUGCUUAAGCGUUUUCACAAUGCCCAGAAUUGUAUGACUUGGUUUUCAACUGAAGCUAGUAAGUAACCUGGAAACAUUACUGUUUUUUUUUUCCCUGUCGUUUUGCUUCUAACUUUUUAAGGAACUCAUGAGGUGGAAUUCACAAUCCAGUAUAAAGCCCCCCUUUUUUCUGGCUAAAUUUUGAAAUGCACUUUGCCUACUAGAUAGCAAACCAUGCGUGUAUUGCCUUUUUUUUUUCUCUCUCUCUCUCUUUUUUUUUUUUUUUUUUUUUUUUUUUUUUUAAGGUGCUGUGCUUUUAUGAACAUCCCUUAUGCUCAUGAUAGAACAUUCGUACCGAUGAUUAAUAUCGUAAAAUAUAAUCUAAAAGAUUUAAGAUACAAACUAACUAAAAUUUGUCUUUUUGACAUUGUCUACAUUAUGAAAUGCACCUUAAAGUCGGUAAUUUUAAUGGCCAAAAUGAAUUAUUUUGGCAUUCAACAGUGUAAAGCAAUUAAAAUCAGUGAAAUUUUAGUCGAUAGUAUUUUUUCAUUGUUUAGAUUUAGAUCAAUAAGCUAACGCUUAUAACUCACUCUUAAGUUGAAAACUAUAUUUUCUACUUCCACAAAGCUGUUCAAUAUUAAACAUUUUAUUCUUUGACCCGUCAUUUUUAAAAUUGAUCAUCCAUAUCAUUAAGAAUAAGUACUUGGAACAUGUAGAAAUUGACUUUUUGCAUUUUUUUUUCCUCUCAAAUUUAUUCUCUGGAGUAGCAAAAGAUCACAGAAUCAAUGGUGAAAAUUAAACAACCUGAAAAACCCUAGCAUUUGUUUGGUUGGGGGUUAGGGGUGGAAUAACCCCUUAAUCCCCCAUAUUAUUUCCAAACAUUCCAAAAAUAGGUGGGGUUAACUAACCCAACCUCAAAUGAGCUAUUCUGGAUUAGCUAAUCCUAUCUAACCUCACCAAAUCCCAACCAAACACUAUUUUCUAUUCAUAAGAACCCACUAUCUUUCUUAUCCCACCUACUCCAACCAAACAUUAUUUUUUACUAUCCUGAACUAACUCCAAUCCUCAACCAAACACAAAAAUACUCUAAUUCCACCUUAACCCUGAAUUUAACUCUAUCUUUGAAAUAACUAAUUUUUCUUAAUUCCGAAUGAAACGGUAGCUUAAGAUCAAGAAAAUAUUGAUUCGAUAU